ACUUAGGAAUCUACCUAGUAGUGGGGGAUAGCACGGGGAAACUCGUAUUAAUACCGCAUACGACCUACGGGAGAAAGGGGGCAGUUUACUGCUCUCGCUAUUAGAUGAGCCUAAGUCGGAUUAGCUAGAUGGUGGGGUAAAGGCCUACCAUGGCGACGAUCUGUAGCUGGUCUGAGAGGAUGAUCAGCCACACCGGGACUGAGACACGGCCCGGACUCCUACGGGAGGCAGCAGUGGGGAAUAUUGGACAAUGGGGGAAACCCUGAUCCAGCCAUGCCGCGUGUGUGAAGAAGGCCUUUUGGUUGUAAAGCACUUUAAGCAGUGAAGAAGACUCUUCGGUUAAUACCCGGAGACGAUGACAUUAGCUGCAGAAUAAGCACCGGCUAACUCUGUGCCAGCAGCCGCGGUAAUACAGAGGGUGCAAGCGUUAAUCGGAAUUACUGGGCGUAAAGGGAGCGUAGGUGGCUCGAUAAGUCAGAUGUGAAAUCCCCGGGCUCAACCUGGGAACUGCAUCUGAUACUGUUGAGCUAGAGUAUGUGAGAGGAAGGUAGAAUUCCAGGUGUAGCGGUGAAAUGCGUAGAGAUCUGGAGGAAUACCGAUGGCGAAGGCAGCCUUCUGGCAUAAUACUGACACUGAGGCUCGAAAGCGUGGGUAGCAAACAGGAUUAGAUACCCUGGUAGUCCACGCCGUAAACGAUGUCUACUAGUCGUUGGGUCCCUUGAGGACUUAGUGACGCAGCUAACGCAAUAAGUAGACCGCCUGGGGAGUACGGCCGCAAGGUUAAAACUCAAAUGAAUUGACGGGGGCCCGCACAAGCGGUGGAGCAUGUGGUUUAAUUCGAUGCAACGCGAAGAACCUUACCUGGUCUUGACAUAUCUAGAAUCCUGCAGAGAUGCGGGAG
rnacentral:rRNA from 1 species